GGAAAAGGGGUCGAAGGAACUUCUGUGGCCAACAUGGUGCAUCAGAAGAACUCCAAUUCCCACAAGCCCAAGGGAAAGAACGGUGUCCAACAGAGUGCCGACUUUAAGAAGAAGGGUAAGAAGACCUUCAAGAAGAACAAGAAGGAUGAGGGCUGCUUUACUUGUGGUUCGCUUGAACAUUGGGCCAACAAGUGCCCAAACAAGUAUAAGAAGCAAGGGCAGGACUCCAAGUCUGUCAAUAUGAUUGUGGGCAACAAUGAGAGUGGUGAAUCUGGGUACGGUAAUUUAUUUGUUGUAUUUUCAAUUCGGCCGUCCACCGAUUGGUGGGUCGACACAGGUGCAGGUGUUCAUGUGUGUGCUAACAUUUCAUUGUUUUCUUCUUACCAGGCCACAGGUCACGGGUCCGUACUGAUGGGGAAUGGCGCGAGUGCUUCUGUUCUUGGUGUUGGCACGGUCGAUCUGAAGUUUACUUCGGUAAGGAUCGUGCAGCUGAAGAACGUGCAUCAUGUCCCUGCCAUCAAGAAGAACCUCGUUAGUGGCUCCCUUCUAUGUAGAGAAGGGUUUAAGUUGGUAUUCGAGUCUAAUAAAUUAGUUGUUACGAAAUAUGGACUAUUUGUUGGAAAGGGUUAUGAAUGCGGA
rnacentral:rRNA from 1 species